rnacentral:tRNA from 3 species
GCCGAAGUGGUGGAAUUUGGUAGACACGCUAUCUUGAGGGGGUAGUGGGUUACAGCCCGUGCGGGUUCAAGUCCCGCCUUCGGCACCA